ACCAAUUCUGAAGGAUUAAUUGUUCCUUUUGGUGUAAUGGCUCAGACGCUAAAUCAAUUAUGUGGUGAUCUUGAUUUAUAGAUUUUCUUCGAUCUUGGAAACGCCCCAUAAAUUA